rnacentral:rRNA from 1 species
CCCGGUGAGCAUUAAACGGCCGCAGUUAGGAGCUGUGCUAAGGUAGCGUAAUAAGUUGUCCUUUAAAUGGGGAAAGGAAUGAAUGGUUUGACGUGGGGAAAGCUGUCUUAAGUUAAAAAUAAAAAAUUUUCUUUUUGGUGAAAAGCCCAAAAUUACAAUAAAAGACGAGAAGACCCUUUCGAGCUUGAAUAAGUCAGGGUAGAGUUGGUUGGCGAAAGUUUAGUUGGGGCAACUACGGAGCAAAUUUAAACUCCUUGAGGAUUGUGGGGAUCCAAAUGUUUUGAAUAGAGAAAAAGCUACCGUAGGGAUAACAGCGUUAUCUUUUCUGAGAGAACAUAUUGAAGAAAAG